rnacentral:rRNA from 1 species
GUGCAGCAGUCGAGAAAACUUCACACUGUGCGAAAGCACGAUGAGGGAAUCCCAAGUGCUUGCACGUAAGUGUAAGCUGUUUCUCUGUCUAAAACGCAGAGAGAGUAAGGGCUGGGUAAGACGGGUGCCAGCCGCCGCGGUAAUACCUGCAGCUCAAGUGGUGACCGUUAUUAUUGGGCCUAAAACGUCCGUAGCCGGUUUAAUAAAUGCCUGGGUAAAUUGUGUAGCUUAACUAUACGAAUUCCGGGUAGACUGUUAAACUUGAGACCGGGAGAAGUUAGAGGUACUCCUGGGGUAGAGGUGAAAAUUCUGUAAUCCUAGGGGACCACCAGUGGCGAAGGCGUCUAACUAGAACGGGUCUGACGGUGAGGGACGAAGCCCUGGGGCGCAAACGGGAUUAGAUACCCCGUAGUCC